rnacentral:rRNA from 1 species
GAUCCUGGCUCAGGAUGAACGCUAGCUACAGGCUUAACACAUGCAAGUCGAGGGGCAUCAGUUUGGUUUGCUUGCAAACCAAAGCUGGCGACCGGCGCACGGGUGAGUAACACGUAUCCAACCUGCCUCAUACUCGGGGGAUAGCCUUUCGAAAGAAAGAUUAAUAUCCGAUAGCAUAUAUUUCCCGCAUGGGUUUUAUAUUAAAGAAAUUCGGUAUGAGAUGGGGAGUGCGUUCCAUUAGUUUGUUUGGGGGGGG